UGUCUUCGGUUCUGUACAGUACAGGAUGAACAAGAACGAGAGACUCCUCAGAAAGAGAGAGAGUAGAUGAGAAAACACGGAACUAAUAUAAACAAAGGUGAAACGAGGAGGUGAAGAGACUGAGGACGAGUUUGCCAUUUGGAUUUUACUGAUUUCGAACCGGCUUCCAUCUGUUUUGGCUCCGUGGACUCGCAGUUAAGGUGAUGAAUCUACUACCCGGCUGACUUGCUUCGUAUCUCCAGCGAGUGGAGUGGAAGAGCGCCAGACCCCAAACCUCCCUCGGUCUCUUCUGGAUUCGCGCUCCAGCUUGUGAGCAUCGGUGCCCUGGAUCUCUUGUCUCUCACCUCCCCUUUAUUCUCUGGACCUUGACGUGGGAACAGACCGUAACAGAUCGCCCAAUGCUGAGGAGGAACUGCCUGCUGCUGUUCCUGUGCUUCCUCUUUGAGCAGAGCUCCUGCACUCCCUUCCAGAGCAGGCCAGGCCAAGAGUGGCCCCACAGCCCAAC
rnacentral:lncRNA from 1 species